rnacentral:tRNA from 1 species
GAAGCUCUUGUUGUGCUGAGCGUGCUCUUAGGGGCCAUAGCUCAGUUGGGAGAGCGCGUGCUUUGCAAGCAUGAGGUCGUCGGUUCGAUCCCGUCUGGCUCCACCAUUUCCUGCAUUCCGAUGAGGGAUGCGGUCGAGAUGGUCGGUGGUGAAGCGCUUCAAGCGUGAGAGAAGAACAUCCGGUUCUUUUCUCUUCUGUCCGCACAAUCUGUUUCGCUGAUCCUCAGCAAGCCCCCAUGUGGGCGAGGAUGAGCGCUGCUGUCUGACAUUGUGAAUCUGGGCGUUUUCGAUUUGCUGGCCGCAAGGCUGGCGGGUCGUGACAAUCAAGCUUUCGGGCUUGAGAGGACACGAUCAUCGGGUGCUGACCGCACCGGUGUCGAAAAUGUCGAAGCUGGUCUUUAGCGUCCAGCCCUCUCGCUGAUCCGCCUGGUGCGGAUUGAUGAGAACCUCAGCCGAGGAGUGGGCAUGGACGAUGAGAACGAUCAAGUGUCUUAAGGGCAUUCGGUGGAUGCCUUGGCGCUAAGAGGCGAAGAAGGACGUGGUACGCUGCGAUA